rnacentral:rRNA from 1 species
AACGAACGCUGGCGGCAGGCCUAACACAUGCAAGUCGAGCGGACCCUUCGGGGUUAGCGGCGGACGGGUGAGUAACGCGUGGGAAUAUGCCCUUCUCUACGGAAUAGUCCUGGGAAACUGGGGGUAAUACCGUAUACGCCCUUUGGGGGAAAGAUUUAUCGGGCAAGGAUUAGCCCGCGUUGGAUUAGGUAGUUGGUGGGGUAAUGGCCUACCAAGCCGACGAUCCAUAGCUGGUUUGAGAGGAUGAUCAGCCACACUGGGACUGAGACACGGCCCAGACUCCUACGGGAGGCAGCAGUGGGGAAUCUUAGACAAUGGGGGCAACCCUGAUCGAGCCAUGCCGCGUGAGUGAUGAAGGCCUUAGGGUUGUAAAGCUCUUUCAGCUGGGAAGAUAAUGACGGUACCAGCAGAAGAAGCCCCGGCUAACUCCGUG